GACGAACGCUGGCGGCGUGCCUAAUACAUGCAAGUUGAGCGAUGAAGAUUGGUGCUUGCACCAAUUUGAAGAGCAGCGAACGGGUGAGUAACGCGUGGGGAAUCUGCCUUUGAGCGGGGGACAACAUUUGGAAACGAAUGCUAAUACCGCAUAAAAACUUUAAACAUAAGUUUUAGGUUUGAAAGAUGCAAUUGCAUCAUUCAAAGAUGAUCCCGCGUUGUAUUAGCUAGUUGGUGAGGUAAAGGCCCACCAAGGCGAUGAUACAUAGCCGACCUGAGAGGGUGAUCGGCCAAAUUGGGACUGAGACACGGCCCAAACUCCUACGGGAGGCAGCAGUAGGGAAUCUUCGGCAAUGGACGAAGGUCUGACCGAGCAACGCCGCGUGAGUGAAGAAGGUUUUCGGAUCGUAAAACUCUGUUGGUAGAGAAGAACGUUGGUGAGAGUGGAAAGCUCAUCAAGUGACGGUAACUACCCAGAAAGGGACGGCUAACUACGUG
rnacentral:rRNA from 1 species